rnacentral:rRNA from 1 species
GAUGAACGCUGGCGGCGUGCCUAAUACAUGCAAGUCGAGCGAACGGACGAGAAGCUUGCUUCUCUGAUGUUAGCGGCGGACGGGUGAGUAACACGUGGAUAACCUACCUAUAAGACUGGGAUAACUUCGGGAAACCGGAGCUAAUACCGGAUAAUAUUUUGAACCGCAUGGUUCCAAAGUGAAAGACGGUCUUGCUGUCACUUAUAGAUGGAUCCGCGCUGCAUUAGCUAGUUGGUAAGGUAACGGCUUACCAAGGCAACGAUGCAUAGCCGACCUGAGAGGGUGAUCGGCCACACUGGAACUGAGACACGGUCCAGACUCCUACGGGAGGCAGCAGUAGGGAAUCUUCCGCAAUGGGCGAAAGCCUGACGGAGCAACGCCGCGUGAGUGAUGAAGGUCUUCGGAUCGUAAAACUCUGUUAUUAGGGAAGAACAUAUGUGUAAGUAACUGUGCACAUCUUGACGGUACCUAAUCAGAAAGCCACGGCUAACUACGUG